rnacentral:rRNA from 1 species
CCCUUAGAUGUCCGGGGCCGCACGCGCGCUAAACUGAAGGAAUCAGCGUGGCUUUCUCCCUGACCCGAAAGGGUUGGGAAACCCGUUGAAUCUCCUUCGUGAUAGGGAUUGGGGCUUGAAAUUGUUCCCCAUGAACGAGGCAUUCCCAGUAAGCGCGAGUCAUAAGCUCGCGUUGAUUACGUCCCUGCCCUUUGUACACACCGCCCGUCGCUACUACCGAUUGAACGGUUUAGUGAGGGCCUCGGAUUGGUCUCGGCCCGCUCUUUACCGGGCGGCGCCGUUGGUCGAGAAGACGCUCGAACUUGAUCGUUUAGAGGAAGUAAAAGUCGUAACA